rnacentral:sRNA from 1 species
UAGAUACCAAAUUUAAAGGGCCGUUUA